AUCAACGCUGGCGGCGUGCCUAACACAUGCAAGUCGAACGCGAAAGGGGCUUCGGCCCUGAGUAGAGUGGCGAACGGGUGAGUAACACGUGGGUGACCUACCUUCGAGUGGGGGAUAACGUUCCGAAAGGAACGCUAAUACCGCAUGACGUUCUGGGUUUGAAGACCUGGAAACCAAAGCCGGGGACCGCAAGGCCUGGCGCUAGACGAGGAGCCCGCGCCUGGAUUAGCUAGUUGGCGGGGUAACGGCCCACCAAGGCGACGAUCAGUAGCCGGCCUGAGAGGGCGGACGGCCACACUGGGACUGAGACACGGCCCAGACUCCUACGGGAGGCAGCAGUGGGGAAUUGUUCGCAAUGGGCGCAAGCCUGACGACGCAACGCCGCGUGGAGGAUGAAGGCCUUCGGGUCGU
rnacentral:rRNA from 1 species